rnacentral:lncRNA from 1 species
GCUUCGUUUCUCGGCUUGGAUUGGGACUUCUUCUUCUAGAUCUCGAAGAUCAGGACUGCAACACGAACCCUUCGUGCUGAUCUAACGAUAUCUAAAUUGGAUGCCAAGAAGAGCAAAAAAAAUCCUUCUUCUUCUCUUCUUCUCUCUCUCUAACCUUUCUUUAUUUCAGAUCUAAUUUGACGAUCAAGUGGGGUGUGAGAUGAAGAAGGAGAGAAGGAGGUGUUGAGAAGAUAAGUUGCG